UGUACCACAGCUCAGUGGUACAGCAUCUGUUUUGCAUGCAGCAGGUCCCAGGUUCCAUCCCUGCUGGCAUAU